GAAAUGCGAUAAUUAAUGUGAAUUGCAGAAUUCAGUGAAUCAUCGAGUCUUUGAACGCACAUUGCGCCCCCUGCUAUUCCGGGGGGCAUGCCUGUCCGAGCGUCAUUGCUGCCCUCAAGCACGGCUUGUGUGUUGGGCUUCCGUCCCUGGCAACGGGGACGGGCCCAAAAGGCAGUGGCGGCACCAUGUCUGGUCCUCGAGCGUAUGGGGCUUUGUCACCCGCUCCCGUAGGUCCAGCUGGCAGCUAGCCUCGCAACCAAUCUUUUUAACCAGGUUGACCUCGGAUCAGGUAGGGAUACCCGCUGAACUUAAGC
rnacentral:misc_RNA from 1 species